CCGGGGGCCGCCUAAAGAAGAGGCUGUGCUCUGGGGCUCCGGCUCCUCAGAGAGCCUCGGCUUAGAUUGUUCCUUAAGGAUGGGACAGUUUAAGGCUGUAUCCCUGCCACCUAAGCAGAAUCAGGUCUUCGAGAUCAACACAUUUUCCUAAUCCCAAGAUGUUGCCUUUUACAUUCUCAGAAGCAAGCAGAGGCACGUGAUUCUCGAUGACAAUACUGUCACUAUGCUAAAUACUGCUGUACAGUUUGGAUUUUUUUUUAAUGUAGUUAAGGUGUUAUAUAAAACUAACAUGGAAGAAUUGGUCAAGAAACUUUUAUAAAGUGAAAUGUGUACUGCCUUUAGAGAUCAUUUGACUUGGCAUGUCUUUUGCAACACACUAACUUUGAGUAGUUUUGGCACCAGCUAUGUUGUGGAGUCAUUUUGAAAGGAGUCAUUCCAGUGAGUAUUGGAUUGUUUUGAAUGCUACUGAAUAUUUUAAAUGCAGAUUUUUGGUGUUCCACAAAGCAAAACUGUCAAGCUUCAAACUAAAAAUUGAAAACCUGAGGUAUUUCAGAAGGACUUGUUAAGAAAAUUUAGAGACCAUACAGUUGACAUUACUGAGUAUCAACCAGGUGAAAAGAAGUGCUUGCAGUGGUUCUUUUGAGCACUAUAGUAGCUUGUUACAAAGAUUUUUCCACAGAUACAAACUCUAAUCCAUAAUUCGUAGGUGUAUAUGUAACACUUUAUAAAUGGAUGAAGCUACAAGCAUGGUUGGGCUUGUUACUGUGCUUGUAUUUAUGUGAAAACUUGGCAAUAAACCUAUGUCCUAAAAUA
rnacentral:lncRNA from 1 species